GGACGAACGCUGGCGGCGUGCUUAACACAUGCAAGUCGAACGGAGUCUGCGUGGAAGCUUGCGAAAUGCAGACUUAGUGGCGGACGGGUGAGUAACGCGUGGAUAACCUGCCCACAAGCCUGGGAUAACGCCGGGAAACUGGUGCUAAUACCGGAUAAGCUCUUAGGGAUGCAUGUCCUUGGGAGGAAAGGGGAAACCCGCUUAUGGAUGGAUCCGCGUCCCAUUAGCUGGUUGGUGGGGUAACGGCCUACCAAGGCGACGAUGGGUAGCCGGCCUGAGAGGGUGGCCGGCCACACUGGGACUGAGACACGGCCCAGACUCCUACGGGAGGCAGCAGUGGGGAAUCUUCCGCAAUGGGCGAAAGCCUGACGGAGCAACGCCGCGUGAGUGACGAAGGCCCUUGGGUCGUAAAACUCUGUCUUCAGGGAAGAAAAAAAUGACGGUACCUGAGGAGGAAGCCCCGGCUAACUACG
rnacentral:rRNA from 1 species